UUGGGAAUCUUGCGCAAUGGGGGAAACCCUGACGCAGCGACGCCGCGUGGGCGAUGACGGCCUUCGGGUUGUAAAGCCCUGUUGGUAGGAAAGAAUACUGACGGUACCUACUGAGGAAGCCCCGGCUAACUCCGUGCCAGCAGCCGCGGUAAGACGGAGGGGGCGAGCGUUGUCCGGAAUUACUGGGCGUAAAGAGCGUGUAGGCGGCCUGGUCAGUCGGUUGUGAAAGCCCUGGGCUCAACUCAGGGAGGCCGACCGAUACUGCCGGGCUGGAGUGCGGGAGAGGAGAGUGGAACUACCGGUGUAGCGGUGAAAUGCGUAGAGAUCGGUAGGAACACCCGUGGCGAAGGCGGCUCUCUGGACCGCAACUGACGCUGAGACGCGAAAGCUAGGGGAGCGAACGGG
rnacentral:rRNA from 1 species